AUACGGAGGGUGCAAGCGUUGUCCGGAUUUAUUGGGUUUAAAGGGUGCGUAGGCGGUACGUUAAGUCAGUGGUGAAAUCCCUCAGCUCAACUGAGGAACUGCCAUUGAUACUGGCGUACUUGAGUACAGACGAGGUAGGCGGAAUUUAUGGUGUAGCGGUGAAAUGCAUAGAUACCAUAAAGAACACCGAUAGCGAAGGCAGCUUACUAGACUGUAACUGACGCUCAGGCACGAAAGCGUGGGGAGCGAACAGGAUUAGAAACCCGAGUAGUCC
rnacentral:rRNA from 1 species